rnacentral:misc_RNA from 1 species
AACAAGGUAGCCGUAUCGGAAGGUGCGGCUGGAUCACCUCCUUUCUAAGGAUAUAUGGAGCAGUGUGCGUUUUCGUCUUGUUUAGUUUUGAAGGAACUUGCAAAAGAUCCUACAACAUCAUAUCUUCGAUAUGAAAGAUGGGCCUGUAGCUCAGCUGGUUAGAGCGCACGCCUGAUAAGCGUGAGGUCGGUGGUUCGAGUCCACUCAGGCCCACCAUCUUCUAUUAAAUCGGGGCCUUAGCUCAGCUGGGAGAGCGCCUGCCUUGCACGCAGGAGGUCAGCGGUUCGAUCCCGCUAGGCUCCACCAACGUGUUCUUUGAAAACUAGAUAACAAUAAGUAAUACAUUCACAUUGAAUGCAAUGCAAAGUUCAUCACACAUAGUGAUUCUUUCUAAAGUAAGAAAUGGUUAAGUUAGAAAGGGCGCACGGUGGAUGCCCUUG